rnacentral:misc_RNA from 1 species
GAUGAAGAACGUAGCUAAAUGCGAUACUUGGUGUGAAUUGCAGAAUCCCGUGAACCAUCGAGUCUUUGAACGCAAGUUGCGCCCGAAGCCAUUAGGCCGAGGGCACGCCUGCCUGGGCGUCACACGUCGUUGCCCCCCCAUCUACUCCUUCGGGAUUGCGGGGGGCGGAUGAUGGCCUCCCGUGCGCCUCGUCGCGCGGUUGGCAUAAAUGCCAAGUCCUCGGCGACGCACGCCGCGACAAUCGGUGGUUGCGAAACCUCGGUUGCCCGUCGUGUGCGGUCGUCGCGCAUCGAGGGCUCGAAAAAAUUGCCGGGCUCCGGCUCGGCUUUCAACGCGACCCCAGGUCAGGCGGGGUUACCCGCUGAAUUUAAGCAUAUCAAUAAGCGGAGGA